rnacentral:rRNA from 1 species
AUUGAACGCUGGCGGCAUGCCUUACACAUGCAAGUCGAACGGUAACGCGGGGGCAACCCUGGCGACGAGUGGCGAACGGGUGAGCAACACAUCGGAACGUAUCCUUUGAGUGGGGGAUAGCUCGGCGAAAGCCGGAUUAAUACCGCAUACGCUCUUUGGAGGAAAGCGGGGGACCUUCGGGCCUCGCGCUUAAGGAGCGGCCGAUGUCGGAUUAGCUAGUUGGUGGGGUAAAGGCCCACCAAGGCGACGAUCCGUAGCGGGUCUGAGAGGACGGCCCGCCACACUGGAACUGAGACACGGUCCAGACUCCUACGGGAGGCAGCAGUGGGGAAUUUUGGACAAUGGGGGCAACCCUGAUCCAGCCAUGCCGCGUGAGUGAAGAAGGCCUUCGGGUUGUAAAGCUCUUUCGGCCGGAACGAAAUCGGUGGGGUGAACAAUCCUGCUGGAUGACGGUACCGGAAGAAGAAGCACCGGCUAACUACGUG